rnacentral:rRNA from 1 species
UACGUAGGGGCCUAGCGUUGUCCGGAUUUAUUGGGCGUAAAGAGCGUGUAGGCGGCCUGACAGGUCUGCUGUGAAAACUCGAGGCUCAACCUCGAGAUGUCGGCGGAAACCGUCUGGCUAGAGUCCGGAAGAGGAGAGUGGAAUUCCUGGUGUAGCGGUGAAAUGCGCAGAUAUCAGGAAGAACACCUAUGGCGAAGGCAGCUCUCUGGGACGGUACUGACGCUGAGACGCGAAAGCGUGGGGAGCGAACAGG